rnacentral:rRNA from 1 species
UCAGACGAUGCGUCAUGCAUAUCAAUAAGCGGAGGAAAAGAAACUAACAAGGAUUCCCUUAGUAACGGCGAGUGAAGCGGGAAGAGCUCAAAUUUGAAAUCUUCAAGGUUUUACCUUGACGAAUUGUAGUUUAAAGAAGUGUUUUCUGUUGAAGUUUUGGUAAAAGUUCUUUGGAAUAGGACAUCAUAGAGGGUGAGAAUCCCGUAUUUGACCAUUAUUUUCAGCUUUGUGAUACACUUUCAAAGAGUCGGAUUGUUUGGGAAUGCAGUCCAAAAUGGGUGGUAAAUUUCAUCUAAAGCUAAAUAUUGGCGAGAGACCGAUAGCGAACAAGUACCGUGAGGGAAAGAUGAAAAGAACUUUGAAAGGAGAGUUAAACAGUACGUGAAAUUGUCAAAAGGGAAGCGUUUGACACCAGUGUUGUUUUCUCGAAAAUCAAUUAAAAAUGGCUCGAUUUUGUAUUGCUGAGACCUUAAAAGCUCACUGUACAUUUUUCGUGUCUUUUUUAAUGCACUUUUCGUUUAACAAGUCAACAUCAGUUUCUUUUGUUGUAAAAAGGGUCAUUGGAAGGUGGCUUUCCUUUCGGAGAAAGUGUUUAUAGCCUUUGGCCUCUGCAAUCGGAGAGACUGAGGUCUGCAGCGUAGACUCUUCGGGGUUAGAUACAUUUGUGCUAAGUUAUAGCUUUUUAUAGACAACUUGUUGACUAUAAUUAGUCUUGUAGCUUACUCGCUUAUGCUAUUUUACCUACGCUUAGGAUGUUGAGUCGUAGAGCACGCAG